rnacentral:rRNA from 1 species
UGUACUCACCGCCCGUCACACCAUGGGAGUUGAUUUCACUCGAAGUGGAAAUACUAAACUAGUUAUCCCCCACAGUGGAAUCAGCGACUGGGGUGAAGUCGUAACAAGGUAACCGUAGGAGAACCUGCGGUUGGAUCACCUCCUUU